rnacentral:rRNA from 1 species
GGAGUCUGCAACUCGACUCCAUGAAGUCGGAAUCGCUAGUAAUCGUGGAUCAGAAUGCCACGGUGAAUACGUUCCCGGGCCUUGUACACACCGCCCGUCACACCAUGGGAGUGGGCUGCAAAAGAAGUAGGUAGUUUAACCUUCGGGGGGACGCUUACCACUUUGUGGUUCAUGACUGGGGUGAAGUCGUAACAAGGUAGCGCUAGGGGAACCUGGCGCUGGAUCACCUCCUUAAACGAUGAU